AUUGAACGCUGGCGGCAUGCCUUACACAUGCAAGUCGAACGGCAGCAUGGAGAGCUUGCUCUCUGAUGGCGAGUGGCGAACGGGUGAGUAAUGCAUCGGAACGUACCGUGUAAUGGGGGAUAACGUAGCGAAAGUUACGCUAAUACCGCAUACGACCUGAGGGUGAAAGCAGGGGAUCGCAAGACCUUGCGUUAUACGAGCGGCCGAUGUCAGAUUAGCUAGUUGGGGAGGUAAAGGCCCACUAAGGCGACGAUCUGUAGCGGGUCUGAGAGGAUGAUCCGCCACACUGGGACUGAGACACGGCCCAGACUCCUACGGGAGGCAGCAGUGGGGAAUUUUGGACAAUGGGGGCAACCCUGAUCCAGCCAUGCCGCGUGAGUGAAGAAGGCCUUCGGGUUGUAAAGCUCUUUCGGCCGGGAAGAAAUCGCACAGGCUAAUACUCUGUGUGGAUGACGGUACCGGCAUAAGAAGCACCGGCUAACUACGUGCCAGCCGCCGCGGUAA
rnacentral:rRNA from 1 species